rnacentral:rRNA from 1 species
GACGAACGCUGGCGGCGUGCUUAACACAUGCAAGUCGAGCGGUACGUUCUUUCGGGGUACACCAGCGGUGAAUGGGUGAGUGACACCUGCGUUAUCUUUCCUGCUCUUCCCGCUAAGCCUGGGCUACUGGGUCUUAUUCUCGAUAUGCCCUCCUUUUGCCUGGUUUGUGUUGGCACGCUUUAUCGGUGCGGGAUGGUCUCGCGGCCUGUUAGCUUGUUGGCGGGGCAUUGCUCUACCAAGGCGAUGAUAGGUAGCCGACCUGGGAGGGUGGGCGGCCACACUACGACUGAAACACGGCACAGACUACAACGGGAGGCAGCGGAGGGGAAUAUUACACAAUGGGAGAGAGCAUGGUGCAACGAAGCAGCGUGGGGGAUGACGGCCAGCGGGUUGUAAACCACUUUCAGCAGGGACGAAACGAAAGUGACGGUACCUGCAGAAGAAGCACCGGCUAACUACGUG